rfam:Glycine soja cultivar W05 scaffold2114_11, whole genome shotgun sequence.
GUCACAUUGAAUGAUAAUUGUCACGUGUCAUGUGUCAACUCCACCAUGAAAGAUGAAAUACAUUGUUGUUUUCAUUGAUCAAUAUAUGACCGUGAGAGUCAUCAUCAUCAUCAUCUAACAAGAACGUGACACGUGACAGACGACAACA